rnacentral:rRNA from 1 species
AUGGAUCCCUAUGUGAUGUGCAAAGUUCGUGCACUCACCUUUUAUAUCUUUGAUGGGCAUCUCUACCUAGACGGCCUGCCUCUUGUGCCUCGGCAUCUCAAGAAAUUGCACCUUGCCAGUGUAGCCCUACAAAAGACCUUGCUUGAUUUUGCUACUUGUCCAGCAUUGGAAGCUCUCCUGAUGCAAAAUUGCCGCAUCUGUGCCGAUAUGAUAUCGUCCUAUUCCGUGAAGCAUUUGACCAUCAGAGAUUGCAGUACCGCUGACCCAGAUUGCAGGUUUCGUAUUUCUACCCCAGGAUUUGUCUCUCUUAAACUAUAUGCAUUUAACCAUCCAACCCCUUUACUUGGAAAUAUGGCAUUGCUAGAGACUGCAUCUGUGUAUCUUUAUGGCUUUGACUAUGAUGUCUGUUUGAAUUAUGACUCUGGUGUUUUCUGUGGAGCUAAUAACAAGGCAGGCAAGAAUUGUGUUUCUGUUCGGAAUAGUGUGCUUCUGGAUGGUAUUUCAAGUGCUAAACAUCUUGCAUUGAGGUCUACAUUUCCAAAGUUCAUCCUCUCAAGAGAUUUGAAGCAUUGCUCUGCAUUUAGCAACUUAAAAACAUUAUUACUCGACGUGUACUGGUGCGAGGCUCCUGACCUGGAUCCACUAGCUUGCAUUCUGAAACACUCACCAGUUCUGGAGAAGCUCACUCUUGAAAUCUUUUCCAGGGAACCAACUCAUAAAGUGGUAAUGAAUGGAAGCUAA